rnacentral:rRNA from 1 species
GAUGAACGCUGGCGGCGUGCCUAAUACAUGCAAGUCGAGCGAACGGACGAGAAGCUUGCUUUUCUGAUGUUAGCGGCGGACGGGUGAGUAACACGUGGAUAACCUACCUAUAAGACUGGGAUCACUUCGGGAAACCGGAGCUAAUCCCGGAUAAUAUUUUGAACCGCAUGGUUCAAAAGUGAAAGACGGUCUUGCUGUCACUUAUAGCUGGAUCCGCGCUGCAUUAGCUAGUUGUUAAGGUAACGGCUUACCAAGGCAACGAUGCAUAGCCGACCUGAGAGGGUGAUCGGCCACACGGGAACUGAGACACGGUCCAGACGCCUACGGGAGGCAGCAGUAGGGAAUCUUCCGCAAUGGGCGAAAGCCUGACGGAGCAACGCCGCGUGAGUGAUGAAGGUCUUCGGAUCGUAAAACUCUGUUAUUAGGGAAGAACAGAUGUGUAAGGAACUGUGCACAUCGUGACGGUACCUAAUCAGAAAGCCACGGCUAACUACGUG